rnacentral:rRNA from 1 species
UACGUAGGGUGCGAGCGUUGUCCGGAAUUACUGGGCGUAAAGAGCUCGUAGGUGGUUUGUCGCGUUGUUCGUGAAAACUCACAGCUCAACUGUGGGCGUGCGGGCGAUACGGGCAGACUGGAGUACUGCAGGGGGAGACUGGAAUUCCUGGUGUAGCGGUGGAAUGCGCAGAUAUCAGGAGGAACACCGGUGGCGAAGGCGGCUCUCUGGACGGUGACUGACGCUGAGACGCGAAAGCGUGGGGAGCAAACAGG